rnacentral:lncRNA from 1 species
GAAGCAUCUUGCAGUCUACUGAGUAUGCAGAGCUGAGGAAUAGAUGGACUCCAAGAAUCUAAACCACUUUUCAAUAAAUGUAUCUUGGCUGGGAUGCAAAGGAGUGCUGAGAACUCAACAGCCUGACCAAUGAUUAGGAAUAAUUGGAAGCAGGUGGAGCUGAGGCCAGCUCACCCAACCUGGCCUGUGCUACAGUCCUUUCCUCUAUGAGCAUCACAGACUUCAAAAAGCUGGAGAAAGCUGUG